rnacentral:rRNA from 1 species
UACGAAUGGGACGAGCGUUGUUCGGAAUUACUGGGCGUAAAGGGCGCGUAGGCGGCCCCUUUUGUCGCGUGUGAAAGCCCCGGGCUCAACCUGGGAGGUGCGCGCGAAACGGGGGGGCUUGAGUUCGGGAGAGGAGAGUGGAAUUCCCAGUGUAGAGGUGAAAUUCGUAGAUAUUGGGAAGAACACCGGUGGCGAAGGCGGCUCUCUGGACCGAGACUGACGCUGAGGCGCGAAAGCGUGGGGAGCAAACAGG